rnacentral:rRNA from 1 species
UACGUAGGUGGCGAGCGUUAUCCGGAUUCAUUGGGCGUAAAGAGCUUGUAGGUGGCCUCGUAAGUUGGACGCGAAAUCUCCGGGCCUAACUCGGAGACGCCGUUCAAUACUGCGGGGCUUGAGGAUGUCAGAGGGAAGUGGAAUUCCUGGUGUGGCAGUGAAAUGCGUAGAUAUCAGGAGGAACACCCGUGGCGAAGGCGGCUUCCUGGGGCAUUCCUGACACUGAGAAGCGAAAGCUAGGGGAGCAAACGGG